rnacentral:misc_RNA from 1 species
GCAAACUUCUCCAAAGCCUGGGAAUAAGGUAAGAUGGCUCUCGCAGCAUGCCCAAGAAAAGAAACGUUCCAUACGCUCAACAAUCCCAAAAUCACUGGAAUGUUUUUCUCAAAAGGAGAAGAGUAGAAAUGCUGGUCAAUGCUUGAAGCUCCCUUCAAGAAUUUUUCGACAACUGUGAACCCAUAUUGAAGAGACAAAGGCAACACUCCUACAGCACUGCAAACACUGUACCGUCCACCAACCCAG